UCUACGGGGGGCUGCAGUGGGGAAUAUUGCACAAUGGGGGAGACCCUGAUGCAGCGACGCCGCGUGAGUGAAGAAGUAAUUCGUUAUGUAAAGCUCUAUCAGCAGGGAAGAAAAUCACGGUACCUGAGUAACAAGCCCCGACUAACUACGUGCCAGCAGCCGCGGUAAUACGUAGGGGGCAAGCGUUAUCCGGAUUUACUGGGUGUACAGGGAGCGUAGACGGGAGUGCAAGUGUGGAGUGAAAGGCGGGGGCUCAACCCCCGGACUGCUCUGGAAACUGUAGGGCUGGAGUGCGGGAGGGGUAAGUGGAAUUCCUAGUGUAGCGGUGAAAUGCGUAGAUAUUAGGAGGAACACCAGUGGCGAAGGCGACUUACUGGACUGUAACUGACGUUGAGGCUCGAAAGCGUGGGGAGCAAACAGGAUUAGAUACCCCGGUAGUC
rnacentral:rRNA from 1 species